rnacentral:rRNA from 1 species
GACGAACGCUGGCGGCGUGCCUAAUACAUGCAAGUCGAGCGAAGCGGCGGAUGGGUGAGAAACGCGUGGGUAACCUGCCCUUAAGCCUGGGAUACCAGUUGGAAACAGAUGCUAAUACCGGAUACUAAAGGAUGGACUUGCGGUGCAUUAGACAGUGGGUAAGGUAACGGCUUACCAAGGCGAUGAUGCAUAGCCGGUUUGAGAGGCUGAUCGGCCACAUUGGGACUGAGACACGGCCCAAACUCCUACGGGAGGCAGCAGUAGGGAAUCUUCCACAAUGGACGAAAGUCUGAUGGAGCAACGCCGCGUGAGUGAAGAAGGUUUUCGGAUCGUAAAGCUCUGUUGUUGGUGAAGCGGUAAUCAAAGAGAAAGUCACGGCUAACUACGUGCCAGCAGCCGCGGUAAUAC